rnacentral:rRNA from 1 species
UGAGGAACAUGACUUUCGGCGGGGGAUAGCCGGCCCAACGGCCGGGUAAUACCGCGUACGACCUUUUGGGGACAUCCCCGAUUGGUGAAAGCAGCAAUGCGCCGAAAGAGUGCCUCGCGGCCUAUCAGCUAGUUGGUGGGGUAAUGGCUCACCAAGGCGACGACGGGUAGCUGGUCUGAGAGGAUGGCCAGCCACAUUGGGACUGAGACACCGGCCCAGACUCCGUACGGGAGCAG